GCCAGACUCCUACGGGAGGCAGCAGUCGGGAAUAUUGCGCAAUGGAGGGAACUCUGACGCAGUGACGCCGCGUGCAGGAAGAAGGUUUUCGGAUUGUAAACGGCUUUAGACAGGGAAGAUAAUGACAGUACCUGUAGAAUAAGCUCCGGCUAACUACGUGCCAGCAGCCGCGGUAAUACGUAGGGAGCAAGCGUUAUCCGGAUUUAUUGGGUGUAAAGGGUGCGUAGACGGGAAGGCAAGUUAGUUGUGAAAUCCCUCGGCUUAACUGAGGAACUGCAACUAAAACUAUCUUUCUUGAGUGCUGGAGAGGAAAGUGGAAUUCCUAGUGUAGCGGUGAAAUGCGUAGAUAUUAGGAGGAACACCAGUGGCGAAGGCGGCUUACUGGACGAUAACUGACGUUGAGGCUCGAAAGCGUGGGGAGCAAACAGGAUUAGAUACCCCCGUAGA
rnacentral:rRNA from 1 species